AGUUUAUUUAUAAGUUUAUUUGUUUUACUUAAGUUAAAUUUAAUUUUGGUUUUUAUAAUAGAUAUUUCAUUUAUUAAUAUAAAAAAAAUUUAUUUAAAUAAAAAUAUUUAUUAAUUAUUAGUAUUAAUUAUUUAAGAAAUUAAGAUUUAGAAAUUAAAUUAAUUGUAAACUAAAUUUGUGCCAGCAGUUGCGGUUAGACAAUUUACGAAAUUUAUUAAUUUUAUAUAAUUAAUAGAAAUAAGUUUAAUUAAUAUUUAUAUUUGAUUUUUAGGUGAAAUUUAAAAUUUAUUUUUAUAUUAAUAAUUUAAUUUUAAUUAAGAUAUUUUAGUUAAUACUAGGAUUAGAUACCCUAUUAUAAAAAUGUAAUUAUUUAUAUUAUAAUUAAUAGUUAUUUUCUUUAAAGUAAAAAAAUUUGGCGGUAUUUUAGUCUAGUUAGAGGAACCUGUUUUUUAAUUGAUAGUCCACGAUUAAUGUUAUUUAAUUUUUUAGUUUAUAUAUCAUCGUGUAAAGUAUUUUAAAAGAAUUAUAUUUAUAAUUUUAAAUUAAAUUAUAUAUCAGAUCAGGGUGUAGUUUAUAGUUAAAUUUAGAUGGGUUACAUUAAUUUUAUUUAUGAAUGUUAAAUAGAAAAUUUAAUUAAAAUUGGAUUUAAAAGUAAAUUAAUAAAUUUAUUUUAAUUGAUUAAAGCUCUAAAAUAUGUACAUAUUGCCCGUCGCUCUUGUAGUAAAAUUAGAUAAGUCGUAACAAAGUAGAUUUACUGGAAAGUGUAUCUAGAAAAUA
rnacentral:ncRNA from 1 species